rnacentral:rRNA from 1 species
AAGAGAGAUGCGAGGUCUCACAGUGCGAUGAUGGAGGAGCCGAUGGGGAACAUAGUAUACCAGGGCGAGAGAUGAAAUGCCAAGACCCCUGGUGGACUGAGCGAGGCGAAGGCGAUGUUCUUGUAGGCAUUCGGUGAUCAAGGACGAAGGCUGGAGUAUCGAAAGUGAUUAGAUACCGCAGUAGUUCCAGCAGUAAAAGAUGCCGACAUGCUCAUUGGACACAGUGGGCAGGGAGAAAUCUUAGAGUUCGGGCUCUGGGGAUAGUAUGCUCGCAAGGGUGAAAAUUAAAGAAAUUGACGGAGCUACACCACAAGGAGUGGAUUGUGCGGCUUAAUUUGACUCAACGCGAGGAAACUUACCAGGGCCAAGUAUUGUGUAGAAACGAGCAAUACAGGAGUGGUGCAUGGUCGUUGGAAAUUGAUGGGAUGACUUUGACCUUAAAUGGUUGAAUGAGUGAGAUCUUUUGGACAUGUUCCGCACGGAACAGGAAGGAAAAGGCUAUAACAGAUCCGAGAUGCCCUCAGAUGCCCUGGGCUGCACGCGCAAUACAAUAGCAGGUAGAGAGAGAGACAGGAAGGUGCUCAGAUGGACUAUGUGCUGUAAGGCACAUACGAAAGA